ensembl:misc_RNA 7SK 7SK RNA
AGACAAGAGGAAAAUCUAGCUGUCAUGUCAAUGUCAUCCCAUUGAUCCUUAGGUUAUUUCAUUGCUGUAGCUGGCCAAAUAGAUACUAUUUUCCUGCCUCACCUCUCUAUGUGUGCCCCUUCUAAAACUAAGUUUUCCAAGCAGAAGGAUUUUAUUUAGCCAAGGAUAUUCAAGUACUGAGCUCCCCUGUUAGAAUCUCCAAACAACUGAUUUGAUAUGUUUAGUGUUUUGCACAUUUUUUUCUGAUAGGGGAUUGUAAUCCCUUCAUC